rnacentral:tRNA from 1 species
UAAUUGAAGCCAAAAAGAGGCUUAUCACUGUUAAUGAUACAAUUGAGUAUUUAACUCCAAUUAAG